rnacentral:tRNA from 1 species
UCCCCUGUGGCUCAGCUGGUAGAGCAUGGUGUUUGCAACGCCAGCAUGGUGUUUGCAACGCCAGGGUUGUGGGUUCGAUUCCCACGGGGGGCC